AUUGAACGCUGGCGGCAUGCCUUACACAUGCAAGUCGAACGGCAGCACGGGGCAACCUGGUGGCGAGUGGCGAACGGGUGAGUAAUGCAUCGGAACGUACCUUUCAGUGGGGGAUAACGUAGCGAAAGUUACGCUAAUACCGCAUACGCCCUGAGGGGGAAAGCGGGGGACCGUAAGGCCUCGCGCGAUUGGAGCGGCCGAUGUCUGAUUAGCUUGUUGGUGAGGUAAAGGCUCACCAAGGCAACGAUCAGUAGCUGGUCUGAGAGGACGAUCAGCCACACUGGGACUGAGACACGGCCCAGACUCCUACGGGAGGCAGCAGUGGGGAAUUUUGGACAAUGGGGGCAACCCUGAUCCAGCAAUGCCGCGUGAGUGAAGAAGGCCUUCGGGUUGUAAAGCUCUUUUGUCAGGGAAGAAACAGCAGCUUUAAUACAGCAUGCGAAUGACGGUACCUGAAGAAUAAGCACCGGCUAACUACGUGCCAGCCGCCGCGGUAACAC
rnacentral:rRNA from 1 species